UACGUAGGGUCCGAGCGUUGUCCGGAAUUAUUGGGCGUAAAGGGCUCGUAGGCGGUCCGUUACGUCGGGAGUGAAAACUCGGAGCUCAACUCCGAGCCUGCUUCCGAUACGGGCAGACUAGAGGUAGGCAGGGGAGAGCGGAACUCCUGGUGUAGCGGUGGAAUGCGCAGAUAUCAGGAAGAACACCCGUGGCGAAGGCGGCUCUCUGGGACGGUACUGACGCUGAGACGCGAAAGCGUGGGGAGCGAACAGG
rnacentral:rRNA from 1 species